rnacentral:rRNA from 1 species
AUUGAACGCUGGCGGCAGGCCUAACACAUGCAAGUCGAGCGAGCGGCGGACGGGUGAGUAAUGUAUGGGGACUGCCCGAUAGAGGGGGAUAACUACUGGAAACGGUGGCUAAUACCGCAUACUCUCGGAUAACCCAUAUGGGAUUAGCUAGUAGGUGUGGUAAAGGCUCACCUAGGCGACGAUCGCUAGCUGGUCUUAGAGGAUGCUCAAACACAAUGGGAGUGAGCCACGGCCCAGACGCCUACGGAGGCAGCAGUGGGGAAUAUUGCACAAUGGGAUCAAGCCUGAUGCAGCCCUGCCGCGUGUAGUCAGAAGGCAUUAGGGGGGUGAAGGACUUUCAGCAGGGACGCGUUACCCGCAGAAGAAGCACCGGCUAACUCCGUGCCAGCAGCCGCGGUAAUUC